GUGUGGGGUGGGACCCCAAUGGGAUCCCAUAGGGAGGGGAAUGGGGGCACAAUGUGUGGGGCAAUGGGAUGUAGGGUGGGACCCCAUUGGGAUCCCAUAAGGUGUGGGGUUCUCCAUAUUGGGGUCCCUACACUGGAGUGGGGACCCCAAUGUGUGGGGCAAUGGGGUGUGGGGUGGGACCCCAUUGGGGGACCCCAUAAAGUGUGGGGCUCUCCAUCAUUGGGGUCCUAUUGGGAGGGGAAUGGGGGCUCAAUGUGGGGGGUAAUGGGGUGUGGGGUGGGACCCCAUUGGGGGACCCCAUAAGGUGUGGGGUUCUCCAUAUUGGGGUCCUAUGGGGAGAGGAAUGGGGGCUCAAUGUGUGGGGUAAUGGGAUAUGGGGUGGGGUGGGACCCCAUUGGGAUCCCAUAGGGGGGGAAUGGGGCUCAAUGUGUGGGGUAAUGGGAUGUGGGGUGGGACCCCAUUGGGUGACCCCAUAAACUUUGGGUCCCCCAUUAUUGAGCCAUGGGGUGACCCCAUAAACUUUGGGCCCCCAUUAUAGGGCUAUAAGGUGACCCCAUAAACUUUGGGCCCCCCGUUAUUGGGAUUUUGGGGUCCCCUAUUAUAGGGCCAUGGGGUGACCCCAAUUUAGGGUCCCCCCCGAUGGGAUUUGGGGUCCCCCAUUACAGAGCUAUGGGGUGACCCCAUAAACUUUGGGCCCCCCAUUAUUGGGGUCCCCCUUUAUAGGGCUAUGGGGUGACCCCAAUGUUUGGGUCCCCCCCAAUGGGAUUUGGGGUCCCCCAUUACAGAGCUAUGGGGUGACCCCAUAAACUUUGGGCCCCCCAUUAUUGGGGUCCCCCUUUAUAGGGCUAUGGGGUGACCCCAAUGUUAGGGUCCCCCCGAUGGGAUUUGGGGUCCCCCCUCACCUCUCUUUGCCGUCGCCCCCAUUAUUGGGGUCCCCCAUUAUAGGGCCAUGGGGUGACCCCAAUUUAGGGUCCCCCCCGAUGGGAUUUGGGGUCCCCCAUUACAGAGCUAUGGGGUGACCCCACAAACUUUGGGCCCCCCAUUAUUGGGGUCCCCCAUUAUAGGGCCAUGGGGUGACCCCAAUUUAGGGUCCCCCCGAUGGGAUUUGGGGUCCCCCCUCACCUCUCUUUGCCGUCGCCCUCCAUGUCCAACGAUUGGCUGAGGAACUCCUCCAGGUCGAAGCCCACCCCAUAUCCCGCCCCGCUGCCUUUUGGGGUCACCGAGAAGACGGGGGGCAAAAUGUCCUCCACCUUUAUGGGGGAAAAGGGGGGGGGGGGGGGAAGAGAGGACCCCAAAAACGUGACCCCAAAAUGGAGACCCCAAAUCCAUGACCCCAAAUUAAGAUCACCAACCCAUCCUAAGACCCCAAAUGGAGACCCCAAUUCUCUGACCCCAAAUGGAGACCCCCAACCCAUCCUGUGAUCCCAAAUGGAGACCCCAAAUCCAUGACCCCAAAUGGAGACCCCCAA
ensembl:lncRNA